AUUGAUAGCUUGCUAUCCAUGGUGAGAGUGGCGCACGGGUGCGUAACGCGUGAGCAACCUACCUCCAUCAGGGGGAUAGCCUCUCGAAAGAGAGAUUAACACCGCAUAACAUCCACAGUUCGCAUGUUCAGUUGAUUAAAUAUUUAUAGGAUGGAGAUGGGCUCGCGUGACAUUAGCUAGUUGGUAGGGUAACGGCUUACCAAGGCGACGAUGUCUAGGGGCUCUGAGAGGAGAAUCCCCCACACUGGUACUGAGACACGGACCAGACUCCUACGGGAGGCAGCAGUAAGGAAUAUUGGUCAAUGGGCGGAAGCCUGAACCAGCCAUGCCGCGUGCAGGAUGACUGCCCUAUGGGUUGUAAACUGCUUUUGUCCGGGAAUAAACCUCCUUACGUGUAGGGAGCUGAAUGUACCGGAAGAAUAAGGAUCGGCUAACUCCGUGCCAGCAGCCGCGGUAAUACGGAGGAUCCGAGCGUUAUCCGGAUUUAUUGGGUUUAAAGGGUGCGUAGGCGGCUUAUUAAGUCAGGGGUGAAAGACGGCAGCUCAACUGUCGCAGUGCCUUUGAUACUGAUGAGCUUGAAUGUGAUUGAAGAUGGCGGAAUGAACAAGUAGCGGUGAAUGCAUAGAUAUGUCUCAGAACCCGAUUGCGAGGCAUUAUCUAAGCG
rnacentral:rRNA from 1 species